GCACUGCUGAAGAGCCCCACAAUAGGACGAAACAGCUGUCCAGUGC
rfam:Schistosoma mansoni strain Puerto Rico chromosome 2, complete genome